UGGACUAAAAUCCCUACCAAAAUCUCCACCUACCACAUCAACAAACAACAAAAAUCUCUGUUGCCAUUUGCCAAUCCUUAUAUCUCCCUUUGUAAGGUGUGCUUGAAUAAGAUGAGGGUGCUAUGGUCAACCUCCAUGGGCUUUCAAAAAGCCGAACCAUGUUAGUGAGCUUCAGUUAAUCAAAUAUUAAUAGUUUUUCAAUUUAGUGCCCAUCACAUUUGUCUCAGCCUACUUUGAUCUUCCAUUCGUUAACUUGAAAGGAUAUUUGAAUCAGCUUUGUUGGGGCCAUGGAGAGAUGAACUACGAAGAUUGUUGAUUGGGUUCUCUUUGAUGAAUCAUUGAGGUUGAGCGGAGGCAAAUGAAUCGUAAUCAAAACCGAAACAAGAAAAGGAAAACCCAUGGACAGUAUUCAGUAGGUGAUUAAAAAAAGAUUCAAUUUUGGUCUUUGGGUACUUUUGUUUAGCUUAUUUUUAUUUUCUUUUU